ACCUUAUUUUAGUUUUCUCUGUCUCUCUUCUCUCUCUCUCACCAUUUUUACGUUAUAAACUAUUUCUAAUAUUUCUAGAGUUAAAAUCUGUUAAUUAAAUGAAAUAAACGAAACGGAUAGCAUGCUAUCUAUCUCUCAAAAAAAAAAAAAAUAUCUGUUAAUUAACUCUUUUAUCUCUAUAAAAUUAUUAUUUUGCCCUUUUAAAUAUACCCUUCCACCAUCACCGACUUUCUUAUUUGUCCUUAAAAUCAGGAGCAUAAAAAGUAUUUUGACUUUUGGUCUUUUCAAAUAUACCCUUCUACCGCCACUAAUAUUUCUUAUUUGCCCUUAAGUUAAAGGCAAAAUUGUUAUUUUAAUUUGUUUUAACUGUGGUAGAUAUUUAACUCACGAGUUAACUUAACAGAAAUAACUUCGGAAAUAUUUUGCAAUAAUGGUGGAACAUAUGAGGGGUAUUUUAAAAAGAGAAAAUAAAUAGGGAUAAAUCGGGGUAUAUAGAUAAUUAUCCCUAUAAUAAAAC
rnacentral:lncRNA from 1 species